rnacentral:rRNA from 1 species
CCUAGGGCGGCAGCAGUGGGGAAUAUUGGACAAUGGGCGAAAGCCUGAUCCAGCCAUGCCGCGUGUGUGAAGAAGGCCUUCGGGUUGUAAAGCACUUUCAGUGGGGAAGAAAGCCUUGGGGCUAAUACCCUCGAGGAAGGACAUCACCCACAGAAGAAGCACCGGCUAACUCCGUGCCAGCAGCCGCGGUAAUACGGAGGGUGCGAGCGUUAAUCGGAAUUACUGGGCGUAAAGCGCGCGUAGGCGGUCUGAUAAGCCGGUUGUGAAAGCCCCGGGCUCAACCUGGGAACGGCAUCCGGAACUGUCAGGCUAGAGUGCAGGAGAGGAAGGUAGAAUUCCCGGUGUAGCGGUGAAAUGCGUAGAGAUCGGGAGGAAUACCAGUGGCGAAGGCGGCCUUCUGGACUGACACUGACGCUGAGGUGCGAAAGCGUGGGUAGCAAACAGGAUUAGAUACCCCGGUAGUC